rnacentral:rRNA from 1 species
GGGGGAUAUUGCACAAUGGGGGAAACCCUGAUGCAGCGACGCCGCGUGUAGGAAGACGGUCCUAUGGAUUGUAAACUACUGUCUUCGGGGACGAAAAAAGACGGUACCCGAGGAGGAAGCCACGGCUAACUACGUGCCAGCAGCCGCGGUAAUACGUAGGUGGCAAGCGUUGUCCGGAAUUACUGGGUGUAAAGGGAGCGUAGGCGGGGAGGCAAGUCAGGCGUUAAAUUCAUCGGCUCAACCGAUGAUCGCGCUUGAAACUGCAGCUCUUGAGUGAAGUAGAGGUUGGCGGAAUUCCUAGUGUAGCGGUGAAAUGCGUAGAUAUUAGGAGGAACACCAGUGGCGAAGGCGGCCAACUGGGCUUUUACUGACGCUGAGGCUCGAAAGUAUGGGUAGCAAAC